CUCCUCGGUUAAUACCCGGGGACGAUGACAUUAGCUGCAGAAUAAGCACCGGCUAACUCUGUGCCAGCAGCCGCGGUAAUACAGAGGGUGCAAGCGUUAAUCGGAAUUACUGGGCGUAAAGCGAGCGUAGGUGGCUUGAUAAGUCAGAUGUGAAAUCCCCGGGCUUAACCUGGGAACUGCAUCUGAAACUGUUAGGCUAGAGUAGGUGAGAGGGAAGUAGAAUUUCAGGUGUAGCGGUGAAAUGCGUAGAGAUCUGAAGGAAUACCGAUGGCGAAGGCAGCUUCCUGGCAUCAUACUGACACUGAGGCUCGAAAGCGUGGGUAGCAAACAGGAUUAGAUACCCUGGUAGUCCACGCCGUAAACGAUGUC
rnacentral:rRNA from 1 species